rnacentral:lncRNA from 1 species
ACCUAGGAAACANUUCAAAAGGAAACAAUUAGGUACAACUCAAAAUUUGACUACUUUAAACCUAAAAAAGUGUACUUUUAAGGGUAGAAUUUGCAACNAGACCUAAGGUACACUUAGUUGAAGUAAUGUGAACAUCUUAANAUGUCUAAAGUAGUGGAAUGAAGCUAGGAAAGUUGUCAAAACCAAAGAAUCACCUCAAACUCAAAGUUUGAGUCUUUUGAAGCCAAAAAGUGUGCUUAAAAGGUGAAGAAUUGCAACUAGACCCA